rnacentral:rRNA from 1 species
AUUUAUUUAUUAAUUAAUAUUUAUUUAUUUUUUUUAAAUUGUUAAUAGAAAUAACUUAUUUCUUAGUAUUUAUUUUAUGGAAUAGAUAAAAUUUAUUUAUAGAUAAUUUUACUGUAAAGGUAAUUUAUUUUUAUAUUUUAUAAGUAGAAUUAUUUUUUUGUACCUUUUGUAUCAGGGUUUAAUCAAUUUAUUCUUAAUUAUUUUAAAUUUCCCGAAUUUAGAAGAGAUAUUUAUCAUUGUUAUUUAUUGUAUCAAAAAUAUUAAUAAAUUAUAAAUAGUUGUUAUAUGCUAUUCAUUUUUAAAUAUCUGGUUUCUUAAUAAUUGAAUUUAAUUCAGGAUUAUAUUUAAUUAAGGAUUAAUUUUAUUAUUUUUAUUUAAUAUAAUCUAAAAUUAAAGGGGAUAAGCUCUUUUAUUUUUCUAUAAAUGAUUAUAAUUGAAAGUUUUGUAGGAUUAAUAAUUUCCAUCAUUUAUUUUGUUAUAAUUAUACUUUUUGUAUUUUUUAUUUAAUUUGAUUUUUAGGUUUUUAUUAAGAUUUAUUCAUUUAAUUUUUAAUUGAUAGUAAUAAUGAUAAAAUUAGUAAAUGAUUUUAAUUAAUGUAUAGUAACUCGGCAAAUUUAUUCUUCACCUGUUUAACAAAAACAUGUCUUAAUGUUGAUAUUUAUUAAGUCUGGCCUGCUCAAUGAUUUUUUUUAAUAAGAUUAAAUAGCCGCAGUAUUUUGACUGUGCGAAGGUAGCAUAAUCAUUUGUCUUUUAAUUGAAGGCUUGUAUGAAUGGUUGGAUGAGGGAAUAACUUUCUUUACAUUAAAUUUUGAAUUUAAUAUUUUAGUUAAAAAGCUUAAAUUUAUAAAUGGGACGAGAAGACCCUAUAGAAUUUUACUUUAUUUAUUAUAAAUAUUUUUUUGUUAAUGUUAAGUAUUUAUGUAUUAUAAAGUUUUGUUGGGGUGACAAUGAGAUUUAUUUAACUCUCAUAUAUAAUGGUUUAUAGAUUUAUAUGUAUUAGAUCCUAUUUUAAGGAUAAUUAGAUUAAAUUACCUUAGGGAUAACAGCGUAAUUUUUUUGGAGAGUUCAUAUCAAUAAAAAAGUUUGCGACCUCGAUGUUGGAUUAAAAUUAGAUUUAAGUGCAGAAGCUUAAUUACUAGGUCUGUUCGACCUUUAAAAUUUUACAUGAUCUGAGUUCAGACCGGCGUGAGCCAGGUCGGUUUCUAUCUUUUUAUUCUUUAUGUAAAUUAGUACGAAAGGACCAUUUACAGCAAAUAAUUUUGUUUUUAUUGAAUAUUUUUAA